CCGGAAUCGAGUGGGCAGAGUCCUAGGAUGCUGCUAAACAUCCCACAAAACCCAGGACAGCCUGCAUCACAGCAUGUAUCCUGCCCAACAUGUCAGCAGUUCUAAGGCAGAGGAACUCUGAUCUGGAGGUAUUACCUUCACAUCUGACCCGCUGUAGGCCUGCCCACCCCAACCAAAUGUGAAAAUUCUUCCUCAUUCCCUCCUGGAUCCGAGGAUCGCUCAAUUCCAGACAAAUGAUAAAACAUCCACGCUUCGGCAUAUAAAUCAUCUUCAAUUAAGACAUUUCUGUUGGAAAGCGCUUUUGGCAGGACAAACGAAAUAUUUGCCACUGUUCUCCGACUUGGAGCUUUCAAGGUUGGCAGGGCGAUUUAUUUUUGUUGAUUAAACAAAAUACAAAUGGAAAGAGCCUAAAAAUUGAUUCGCCAAUUAAACUCAAUGAUUCUCAACAAUAAAAUGUGCUCUAUUAGCUCUGCCAGCGUUAUAAAAAUGCCUCCUCGCUUUCCUGCUGUUUUCAAGCG
ensembl:lncRNA